rnacentral:lncRNA from 1 species
AGCAAGGUCGCUGUCCGUCGGUUUUCCGCUAAAACGCGCAUCGCCCCGCAUCCAGCGGAGCUUCCGUAAAGGUGUUUGAAACACACGCAGUUCCGUUCUCUCAAAUCAGCUUAAACCCCUGAAUCGGCAGCUAAGGGGCUGCGACCUUAGGGGAGCGCGGUGAGGGGUCUCCAGAGCCAGGCUUCUCAAAUCACGAUCCAGAAACCAGGUGAGCGUAGCGAGGCGGAGGGAUGCCCGACAGCGAGGAUGGGGGGAGAGGCCGGGGGGCUCGCCCUAGGACACCUCCCCGCAGAACUUGAGCCGCCCUUCAAGGCCUCCUACCGCGGAGGACGCCCCAUUCUCCUCGCGGUCAGCCUCCAGGGCUGUGUGCUCCACUCAGCACACCAUCCCUCUUCUAGUUCCGCAGUAUGUAGAUGCCAGGCCCUGCUGAAAACAUGCAAGCCCUCCUUCCUCAGCUUCCUUCACCAUCUUCUGAACCUGAGGAGUGCACAGCCACCCCGUCACCUGGAUGCACACCACUUACUGCCAUUAUCCUGAAGCUCAUUCCACUUGCUUGGGAUGGGCUUCCUAAAUUAAUCACUGAUGAUUCCUCGCUGCCAGGUGAGCGUUGUUUCCAGAAAGCUGUGCGCCUUUGUAUUGUAUGGCACCAAAGGUAUCAGUUAAAGCGCAUGAACAAGGCUCCAGAUUUUGUCCUUUAAAUCCUUGGUGCUCACCGAAGAAUUGGCAAAUAAUAAUAAUCAUUAUUAUCAUUAUUAUUUAUUUAGUAGCCGCUAGUAAUAGAGGCUACUAAGAACCUUCUGAGGCUUCUUUCUAGAUGAAAGAUGAGAUUUCAUUAGAGCCUUUCAAUAGUGAGUGAGGAUCCUGGAGUGACUUGCCAGAUACUUGAUAUGCUUUUAAAUGUGUUUAAAAAUAAGAUGCUAUGUUUUGUAUUUUAUACAUGCAGAUAUAUAAUAAAGUGACAGUUGCCACAAUGCUCCAAACUUCCUCCUCCCCUUUGGCCUAUCGUUUGCCAGAAUCCCUGGCUAGUGAAAAUUGCAUACUGAAUAGCACCUCAAGGAAAAGCAGAAAGGUAAGCUCUGUCUUCCUUCUUGUUGGGCAACACCAGCUUCUAGCUGUCCUGCAGAUUGGGGCCAACACCAGGCCUGACACUUCGCUUCGGAAUGAAUCUGAGCAAAUGCUUUUGCCAAUCAAGAGACAAGGGAAAGAAUACGUAUCCUUAGCUCAUCCCAAAACCAAGGACCAUGGCAUAACUCAAAAUAUCUAUAAGUAGUAUUUGGUUGAGUAUUUUCAGCAUAGAAACUAGUUUUUACUUGGAUCCACUGUCAUAUAUAUGUGAAAACAGAUAAAAAAACUAACUUGCAAUAUUCCUUGAGCCAAUUCCUAGCAAUAAUGAAACUAGAGUGCCUGUGGGAGUUGCCAGUGAGAGGAGGCAGCAUUCCAACCUAGCUCUGAGUCAUCCCUACUUCCAAGAUGAAUAGGGAAUCUGAGAGCUACUGAUUGUUAAGUCAAAUGCUAACAGAUCUGGUAUUGAAAUGUUAUAUUUCAAGACUCAGAAAGGAUUAGAGAGGUGAAAAAGGAGAAAGAGAUCGUUUUUUUCCCAUCCCACAUAUAGAUAAUACUUCACAGAAACUCAUUUGUAAUUUUUUUCAUGUUGUCUCAUGCUUUUGAUUAAGAAUCAUAAAAUCAGGAAGAAAUUUAGGGAAAUUUUGAAGAAAUUCAAAGAAAUUCUUGAAUAAAUAAUUUUAUUUCACACAUGUUCAUAUAAUAUAGCAUAAGUUGGUGCUUUUAACAUGAGAAUAAUUUUUAAAUCUUCUAAGAACUUGAAAUCUCAUCAUUUAUAUAUAUUUUUUUCCCCUGAAUCUCUGGUCAUAUAUCAUGAAUUAGUAUUAUAAUCUAUAAUUAUGUAGAUUAUAUUAGUAUAAUAAUAUACAUUUUUCCAAAGUGACCUAAAUUUAAGCUAUAGUGAAAUAAGAUUAUUCUAGUAGAAGAGGCAGAAAUAUGCAGCUAGUUCAGGCCAAAAUAGUGACUACGGGAUACAUUUCUGUGUGUUAUUGAAGUUAACAUUCAUUUUUGUUCUUCUCAUGAUAUAUUUUUAUGUCAUAAUCUAGGAUCAGAAUUGAAACUAGUAGCAUAAAUAAAUGUGUUCAUAAAGCAUGAGAUAAUAACAGGGUCAGCUUGAGAAUAUUUAAACAUUCUGAACUUGAUAAAAAGAGUAAUAAGUUGACCCUUGAACAACACAGGAGUUAGGGGUUCCAACCCCCCCACACAGUUGCAAAUCCACAUAUAGCUUUUGACUCCCAAAUACUUAACUAUUAGGAGCCUGCUAUUGACAGGAAGCUUUACCCGUACUAUAAACAGUUGAUUAACACAGACUUACAAAAAGUAAAAUAGAGAAAAUAAAAUGUUAUUCAGAAAAUCAUAAGGAAGAGAAACUACGUUUACAGUCCUAUAGAAAAUUCACAUAUAAGUGGACCCAUGCAGUUCAAACCAUUGUUGUUCAAGGAUCAACUGUAUUUGAAAACUUACUAAAACAAGACAGUUAUUUUUACAAAAUAAACCGAUAUCAUGCCAGAGAAAGACAUAAUAUGGGUUUGGUUCUAGGUUUUACUUUUUGGAAAAUGUGCAGUUAAACCCAGAGAACAUAGAGCAACGCCAAUCCUUAAUAAUCCCUGUUUGUUGACACGGAAUCCAUUAGGAAUUGUUUGCUAUUAGUUUGCUUUUCAAUGAUUUUUGGCAAAAUGGAGAAGGGGCAUCACAACAGUACCAAAUACCAUUUUUUUUCCAAAUGCCAUUUUUAAGAGGAAUAAAAUAAUGUGAACAGAUCUAUUAUGUACAUCAAAAUACAGUGUUUUAUAGCAAUUAUACAGUGUCUGUGGGAAUGAAUUAUCUGACAAAGCCCAAGGAAGACUCUCAAGAAAACCAAGUUAAAAUGAGAUAUUAAAUUAAAAAUUGUGGCAACUUUCACAUCUACAACAGACUAUCUAGAGUCCCUGAGACAUUACUCGGGGGUAACAUUACUAUCCUACUUAAGAGAGGCCUGUUGUAAGAGAUGCUUUGUACAGGAGGCCACAUUAAAUCCUGCAUUUAAUUAACCCUGAUUUUGUGCUAUAUCUUUGUGGAUCACAGUCACUGACAAUGAGGGAAGGUAUCAAGAACAGCUAUAAUAGCUAAUACGUAAUAGCUCUUUCUAUGUGACAGACACAUCAGUAUGCUCUUUACAUGUACAAUAUAUUCAAUUCUCCAAUGAUCAUCUUGGGUAGUUAUUAUUAUCCCCACAAUUUGCUCAAGUUUACACAAUAGAAAGAGGCAGAACCAUGGAUUAAACCAAAAUCUGCCUCAUUAAAGAAUACUCACUCUUAAACAGUACUCUAUAAAGACCUUUUCCCCUGCAUCUACAUUGAAUUAUUUUAAAAUAAAAUGCACCAUUGAAACUGAUAAUGUGAAUGAAAACUACAAUUGUGUCUAUUUGAAUUCCACUGUUUAAAGGCUACCACUUUUUUGUUAUCCUUACUCCAAGGAAGAAAGUUCUAGGAUCAUAUUUAUUAGAAGUCUUUGAGUAAUUGAUAUGAAUGUGAAUAUUGACCUUAUUGUUCUUUGUAAUGCCAAUGGGGUUAUAUUUUUAGAUCAUUUUGUCCUAUAUAACUGAUCUCAAAUAGCAGAGAGGGCUUUUUCUUUUUCUUUUUUUUCAAGCAGCUGAGAGUUUUCUGUAUAAUAGACAAAUUGCCUUAAUUUCUUGAGUCCUGGCUUAAUAAAUCAAUCACUAUAUAUUUUGGUUGAAACCUUAUUUUGUGUUUGGGUCUUCAAUGAAGAUUUUACAUGAUUUUAAUAUCUUCCAGAUAUUUCUCAAAGCUUUUGAAGAUUUCUUUUUUUUUUAAGAUUUUAUUUAUUUAUUCAUAGAGACACACACACACACACACACACAGAGGCAGAGACACAGGCAUAGGGAGAAGCAGGCUCCAUGCAGGGAGCCCGACAUGGGACUCGAUCCUGGGUCUCCAGGAUCACACCCCGGGCUGCAAGUGCUAAACCACUGAGCCACCGGGGCUGCCUUUUUUUUUUUUUAAAGAUUUUAUUUAGCUCUGGAGAUUUCAACAAAAUUUUGAAUAUGGUCAGUUUAUUAAAUCGAUUUGUUGCUUAGUGAAAGCUCCCAAUAUAUUGGUCAAAAUAUCUACAGUACGUUUUGAAUGUCUUAAUAACCAUUUAUAAUUAUAGCACAAUAUGAUUGUAUACUACAGCAUAAAAUGUUAAGCAAGUUUAAAUUCUAAGUUCCCAAAUUCAGAGUAUCCUAAACUUUAUUAAAUGUAAAGCAAAUCCCAGCAUUGCCACCAACUGGCUGCUUAGUCUUGACAAGUUUAGUUAACCUUUUAGCCACUUAGUUUCUCAUCACCUAUAAAAUAAGAAUAAUGAUUACUCGUCCCACAUUGGAUUGUUGUGAAAUUGAGGUAAUAAAUGUGACAUAGAACCUGGAAGCACAGUUAAUAUUAUGUGUUUGCCCUCGUUGUUGCACUCCAGAAAUAUUUUAUCAAAUUAUACAUAGAUAGCAGUGUAUGAGUACACAUGUCCCACCACACUGAAUGUCCUCCCUCCAAAAAACAAAACAAAACAAAACAAAACAAAAAAAGAAAGAAAGAAACCUCAUCAUGUUAUUUUAAUCUGCACUUCUUUGUUUACCAGUGAAAUUGGAUUUUUUUUUAAUGUUUAUUAACUACAGGUUAUUAACUACAGGUAUUCCCUCAUGGGAUUUACUCUUCACAUUUUUAAAAAAGAUUUUAUUUAUUUAUUAGAGACACAGAGAGAGAGAGAGAGAGAGAGAGAGAGAGAGAACAGGCAGAGGGAGAAGCAGGCUCCAUGCAGGGAGCCUGACGUGGGACUCGAUCACAGGACUCCAUGGUCACACCCUGGGCUGAAGGUGGCGCUAAACCGCUAAGCCACUGGGGCUGCCCACUCUUCACAUUUUAAUCAUAAUAUUUGAGGGUUUUUUGCAACUGAUAUGUGAACCUUUAUCUAUUAAGUAUACUAAUUUUUAUCAUCCUAUAUAACAUUGUUUUUCUGUUUUUAACCAUCUAUCUUUGAAAGUUGAAGAAGAGCAUAUUUUAUUCUUUGCAAGAGGAUUUUAAAACAUAGGUGAUCGGUUAUCACUCUUAUUGAGAAGAGAAGAAAUGAGUCUUUGUUUUGUACAUAUCCCACCACAUCCAUUAAAUAAAUAUGUAUUCUUGUUUUGUGCUAAAGAGAAGAAUGUUCCAUUGAAUCCAACUUUGAACAUGAACUAGGGAAACCACUUUCUUCCUUCUAGAAAUUUCCAUCUGGUUUAUUGAAACCCCCAAGAAAAAUCUUUCAUUUAUUUUGCAAAUCUUGUUCACCAGUUCUGUGAUAUCACUUACCUUUAUUUGCUAUGUGCUGUGCUAAAAUUGUACUUUUCACGAAGAACAUUUUUUUACGCAACUUUGUAUUCACAAUGCAGUAUUCAGCAAAUGUUUAUUUAAUGUCAAAUAAAUAUGAUAGUUUAAAUUAUGUGCAAUUUUGGUUCAUAGUUAAGGUUAUGAUUAAAGUAUUCAUUUGCAGAGUCAUUCCACAACUGCACACCACGUUUCAGAUUGUAAUAGAGAGGUUGAUUAAUUCCACUCGUGCUUCUUGUCCACCUCCUUACUCCAUGUUGCUUGCUCCCAUUAGAUCCAUAAUUGCCAUUCAAGUUACAAGCCCUUUGGAGUAACUGUUUUCCCUCAAUCCUUUCAGACUCAGUUUCUUUCUUUUAAAAAUAAUUUUGAUCAUAGUUGCUUAUCGUUUUAGCCCUACUUUCAGCUGUUUUCACAAUGCCCUCCUAUGUAAUCCCUCUUCUAUUUCCAAGAAUCCUUAUCAUACAUGUAAAUGUUCCUAGGAAAACUUUUUAGCAUCUGUCAUUCCAAGUUAACCUGAUUUUCCUGUGGCAACU